AUUCAGCCCUCAUCAUCCGACUGUUUUGGUCCAUUUGAGCUGAUCCUCCUAGGCUGGGAGUAGUUUUGAGGUUAGGAGCACUCCUAAAUGACUCCUUUUGUGUUCUACACUGGAACUGUGCUGGUCUCAGCGUGAGUUACCCAGCCUUCGGAGAUGAACUGACCUGCAAACGAGAUCUCAAGAUAGAAAUGCCACAGAUACAAUAAAUAGUGAUAUCAUUGUGGAAGCUGGUGCUUCCUUCAACAUCUGAACACAUGGAAGAGAUCAAGGAAGUUCUGGCAAGGAAAGCUGAAUCUAUUUCUACUUCUACCAUGCUGUAGCUUUUUAGCUGUAGAGAAUUUCUGUUCAGGAGAAGUCAAACUGGGAUGAUGACUACCAUGAAAUUCACUGUGAGAAGGACUAAUAGAAAAGAACACUUUUCAAGAAAACAAGAUUUACCCUGGUGCCUAUUAAAUUAUCUUCACAGUCCUGUUGUUGCUUCCCCUUAUAUCAGUAAAACCGCAUUUCCUCCAAGUUACCUAAGAAACCCAAUAUAUGGGGCAAAAAAUACUUCAGCUACUAAUAUGUAACUACUCUUUCUGACAUUGCAAUGGAAUAUUUUGUAUUUGAUUAAACUAUUAAUAGUAGAACAUUGCUUAUAAAUCAGGAUGGUUUUCAGCACCAAAGCAGUAAAGGAGACCCAAAACAACAUUUCUUCUCCUUUUAGGUAAGCCAAAAGCAUCUAUGAUCUGCCUUUUAAUUAAA